GAUGAACGCUAGCGAUAGGCUUAACACAUGCAAGUCGAGGGGCAGCAUGGUCUUAGCUUGCUAAGACUGAUGGCGACCGGCGCACGGGUGCGUAACGCGUAUGCAACUUGCCUCACAGAGGGGGAUAACCCGUCGAAAGACGGACUAAUACCGCGUACACUCCAUCUUGGGCAUCCAAGGUAGAGGAAAUGAAAUUCGCUGUGAGAUAGGCAUGCGUCCCAUUAGCUAGUUGGUGAGGUAACGGCUCACCAAGGCGACGAUGGGUAGGGGAACUGAGAGGUUGAACCCCCACACUGGUACUGAGACACGGACCAGACUCCUACGGGAGGCAGCAGUGAGGAAUAUUGGUCAAUGGGCGAGAGCCUGAACCAGCCAAGUCGCGUGAAGGAUGACUGUCUUAUGGAUUGUAAACUUCUUUUAUACGGGAAUAACAAGAGUCACGUGUGACUCCCUGCAUGUACCGUAUGAAUAAGCAUCGGCGAACUCCGU
rnacentral:rRNA from 1 species